GACGAACGCUGGCGGCGUGCUUAACACAUGCAAGUCGAACGAAGUGGCGAACGGGUGAGUAACGCGUAAUCAACCUGCCCUUCAGAGGGGGACAACAGUUGGAAACGACUGCUAAUACCGCAUACUGAAGGAGUGGUUUGCGUCUGAUUCGCUAGUUGGCGGGGUAACGGCCCACCAAGGCGAUGAUCAGUAGCCGGUCUGGAGGGAGGCACGGCCACAUUGGGACUGGGGCACGGCCCAGACUCCUACGGGGGGGAGCAGGGGGGAAACUUCCGCAAAGGGCGAAAGUCUGACGGAGCAACGCCGCGUGGGUGAUGACGGCCUUCGGGUUGUAAAGCUCUGUUAGUCGGGACGCGGUACCGGAAUAGAAAGCCACGGCUAACUACGUGCCAGCAGCCGCGGUAAUAC
rnacentral:rRNA from 1 species